rnacentral:rRNA from 1 species
UAAGGAAUAUUGGACAAUGGACGCAAGUCUGAUCCAGCCAUGCCGCGUGAAGGAUGAAUGCCCUCUGGGUUGUAAACUUCUUUUAUAGGGGAAGAAAGAUACUUUUUUUAAGGUAGUUGACGGUACCCUAUGAAUAAGCCUCGGCUAACUACGUGCCAGCAGCCGCGGUAAAACGUAGGAGGCGAGCGUUAUCCGGAUUUACUGGGCGUAAAGCGCGUGCAGGCGGAUUGGAGAGUUGGAUGUGAAAGCUCCCGGCUUAACUGGGAGAGGUCGUUCAAUACUUCCAGUCUUGAGUGCAGUAGAGGGAAGUGGAAUUCCGGGUGUAGUGGUGAAAUGCGUAGAUAUCCGGAGGAACACCAGUGGCGAAAGCGGCUUCCUGGACUGUAACUGACGCUCAGACGCGAAAGCUAGGGUAGCAAACG